rnacentral:rRNA from 1 species
UACGUAGGGCGCAAGCGUUGUCCGGAAUUAUUGGGCGUAAAGAGCUCGUAGGCGGUUUGUCGCGUCUGCCUGUGGAAAACUCGGGGCUUAACCCCGGGCCUGCAGUGGGUACGGGCAGACUAGAGUGCGGUAGGGGAGACUGGAAUUCCUGGUGUAGCGGUGAAAUGCGCAGAUAUCAGGAGGAACACCGUGGCGAAGGCGGGUCUCUGGGCCGUAACUGACGCUGGAGGAGCGAAAGCUGGGGAGCGAACAGG